CAGCUCAAUUGGUAGAGCAUGAGAUUCUUAAUCUUGGGGCCAUGCGUUUGAUCCCCACAUUGGGCAAAAAGA